GAUGAACGCUGGCGGCGUGCCUAAUACAUGCAAGUCGAACGCAUUGAGAGAAGUGCUUGCACUUUUCAAUUUGAGUGGCGAACGGGUGAGUAACACGUGGGCAACCUACCUGAUAGCGGGGGAUAACGAGUGGAAACAUUCGCUAAUACCGCAUAACAAUACAGAAGGCAUCUUCUUUAUUUAAAAGGCGCUUUCAACCGUCACUAUCAGAUGGGCCCGCAGUGCAUUAGUUAGUUGGUGGGGUGAAGGCCUACCAAGACGAUGAUGAAUAGCCGAGUUGAGAGACUGAUCGGCCACAUUGGAACUGAGACACGGCCCAAACUCCUACGGGAGGCUGCAGUAGGGAAUCUUCCACAAUGGACAAAAGUCUGAUGGAGCAACGCCGCGUGUGUGAUGAAGGCUUUCGGGUCGUAAAGCACUGUUGUAUGGGAAGAAAUGCUAGGCUAGGAAAUGAGCUUAGUUUGACGGUACCAUACCAGAAAGGGACGGCUAAAUACGUGCCAGCCGCCGCGGUAA
rnacentral:rRNA from 1 species